rnacentral:rRNA from 1 species
AUGGCGAGUCAGGGAGGGAAGGUGACUGAUGUUUUGGGGAAGAAACCAGCUAAUGGAGAGGGUUCGAGGGGGGUGACAAAUGCUGUGGAUGCCUCUGGUUCCUCUCUCCAUAUAGCAAUGCAUAAUCAGUUGGGGAUGAAGAUGUCGGGGAGUCGUCCUCUGGUCGUCGACAUGGAGGCAGCCCGCAAGGCCAUUGGUGGUUUCCUCGUGGUUGGACGCCUCCUCUCUCCUUUCCAGGUCAACCCAAGGGCCAUCCUCGAUGAUCUCCGAAACACGGCUUGGAAGAACCAAGGGGUGACCACCCUCCAAGAGGUGGCCAGCAACGAUGGGAGGUUCAUCCUCAACUUCGCCGCUGAAAGUGACCGUCGGUUUGUGCUUCAGGCGCAGCCAUGUCACUUCAAGCGGGAUGGGCUGAUCUUCGCCGAGUUCGACGGCAAGGGCGACCCGGCGGAGGUAGACCUUGGCGCCAUGACCAUAUGGGUCCAGGUACGAGAUCUUCCGUUCGUGCUUAUGACAGAAAGUAUAGGGUGGUCUCUAGAGGAUCAAUUGGGAGAGGUGCUGGAGGUAUCGCACCGUAACCAUGUGAUCGUUGAAAAAUAUUUGCGUGUGCGUGUGAAGCUCCUACUGCAUGAACCUUUAAAGACUUCUGUAGAGUUUACCCCCUUAGGUAGUUCUAAGAUACUUAAAUUCAAUGUAAAAUAUGCGAAGCUUCCUUUGUACUGUGAGUGUUGUGGGAUUGUGGGUCAUACUUCUGAGAGAUUUUGUAAAAUCCCAAGUGAGAAGAGAGUAGUUUGCUUCCCUAGAAAUCUGAGUGUUGAGCCCUACUGGAAGAGCCAAGGUGCUAGCAGGAGGGGUCUCCUCUUCGGGAACUACUCACGCAGCGACAAGAAUCCGACUACAAGCAUCGCCAACAACAACAACAACCCCAAGCCCAUGGACGUCGUCAAGGUGGCCACUGCCGUGAGUGGGCUCACGGUCUCUGAUAAGGGGCCCGCCACUUCCGCCAAGAGAACCACCGGCCAGGAGGGCCGGGUUCAGGAGGUCCUGGCGCAUGCUCCGGCUGAUGCGUCACUUGGUCAGGUGGACCAGGUGGGUGUGCUGGCUGCUUCAGCCCAGGGCCGUAAGUCCCUGGAGGACUCUCGUCGUAGUGCAUCGCAUGACCAGGAGGGUCUCCCACUCGGCCAGGAGGGCCGGGAGGGCCAAGGGCUGGCGGUGCGGGGAUGCACCCAUCCGGGUGAGCUGCAGGGCCAGGAGGGCCACGAGCUGAUAUGGCCAGUAGAACCCAGCCAUACCAAGGCGAUGGCUGCUGCUGCUGGCCACAGUGGAUGUCCUACUGGCCAGGAGGGUCAGGGGAUCCAUCCGAUGGGUGGAGGCAACUUUUCACAGGGUGCAGCUACAACUGGUGCUAAACAUGAUGGACUAUUAUUCAUGCCCGGGGUGCUGGAGGCUCUUACAGGGGCUGUUGCUGCUAGGCUGGCGGCUCAGGAGACAACAAAUGAUAAUGUGGCGUUUACUUUUAAGGCUGUGAAAAAUGAGAAGCAGGGCCAGCAAAAGAGGAAGGGGAGGAAAGGAAAAAGUGUGGGAGUUUCUGAGAGGGUAGAGAAUGCCCGUAAGGUAACUAUAGGUAAAAAGAGGAGAAUCCCAUCUGACCCUAGACCAACAGGUAGUGAACUAGAAUUUUCUUUUGAGAAAGAGAUGGAGAGCUAUGAGCGUAUCCUGUAUGAUGAUGUGAAUGUGUCCUUCAAGCGAGUCUGUAUGGGCAGAGUGGUAACUAUGAAGAAUGGGGAUGGGGUACUCACACAUGUAGCUAAGGAGACAGAGGAGGAGGAGGCGCAUAUGGAGCAGAGGAGGGAGUCGGUUGGAGAUGAUGGCGCAUCGGCGGCCUCCGAGGAGGAGGAGGGCGGUAACGCCAGACCUAACACGAUGAUGAGAGAUUUUCGCAAUUUUUUGCAAGAGUGCGGUCUAGAGGAUAUGGGAUGUAUUGGCGAUCUCUUCACCUGGAGGAGAGGUGAAAUUAGGGAGAGACUUGACCAUGCAGUUUGCAAUGUGGACUGGGCGAAUAAAUUUCCUCAGGCUGCGAUCAUAAAUGAAGAACACGUACACUCUGAUCAUCGACCCCUCAUACUAGAUAUAGAUUACUUUGAUGUGAAUAUGUUUAAUCGCCCAAGGGGUCGAGCAAAACAAUUUGAAGCUCGAUGGCUCAAAGAAGAGACAGUUGUAGAAAUUGUACGUACAGCGUGGGAUAAAGCAAAGAUGAUGGGCAUUGGGCCGUCUCUCGGUGAGCGUACACGGGCGGUGAAAGCGGAUCUGCAUAUUUGGGACCGCGAUAUUCUAAAGGGACCGAAAAAAAGAAUUAACAAACUAAAAAAGGAACUAGAAAGGCUGCGGAGGGGACCCAUGUGUGCGGAGUCUCAAGCGCGACAAAAGGAGAUUCUUGUCCUCAUUGAAAAUCUGUCGGAACAAGAGGAGAUUUACUGGCUACAACGUGGUCGCGCAAACUGGCUUUUGCAUGGGGAUCGUAACACCUCCUUUUUUCAUAAUGCGGCAACGGCCAGAAAGAAAAGAAAUCAGAUUAAAAAAUUGCUUGAUGAUAAUGGUGUUUGGGUGCAUGAUUUGGUCGCUAUCCCAACUGGUUGUACCAGCGCAUUUGUUGUUGCAGAUUCCGGGUUUGAAACUUGUCAAAGAGAGUUCGAUCAUUUGUUCUUUUCGAUCUCAAACAACGUUAUUAGCACGAAGAACUACCGGGAGCGCAAAAAUGAGGAAGGGAGCGAGCACUCGCCGGUAAUGCCGGUCUUGUUUCCUUUUUCCUCCGCUUCAUUUGUGAGGAUGGCCGUCGUUGCCGCCUUGUUGCUCGCCGUCGCCAUGGAGUCGGCGGACUCCGUCGUUGCUUCAUCGCGAGGCAGCGACGCCGCUGGACGCACUGCUCGGCGCGCCCAUCACCGUUGGACGCGGUCACCACGCCGUUGGACCGAGCGUGACUCCCGUGCACGCCCCCGGACUCGGAGCCUCGCCUCCACCUCCGCAUCCGGCAUUGGCAUUCAACGUCUUAGUGUGACUCUGCGGGGCACAGCCGUGCGGACUAUGCACCCCGGAACAACGUUGUCGGUCAGCGCAACGGCCCCAACCUCUCGUCCCCAGGCCACGGAUGCGGCACCCGACGAGAAUGGCGGCCUCACGCGCGCAUUGCCCAACCCGUGGCAAGAAUGGUGUGAAGUGCACGGCUUCGGCCCGCGGCCCCGCCGCACAUCAUCUUCAUAG